GUGUCAGCAGCCGCGGUAAGACGUAGGGAGCGAGCGUUGUCCGGAUUGAUUGGGCGUAAAGCGCGCGUAGGCGGUCGUGCAAGUCGGUUGUGAAAACCCGGGGCUCAACCCCGGGCCUGCGUCCGAUACUGCACGACUAGAGGCAGGUAGGGGAGAUCGGAAUUCCUGGUGUAGCGGUGAAAUGCGCAGAUAUCAGGAGGAACACCGGUGGCGAAGGCGGAUCUCUGGGCCUGUCCUGACGCUCAGGCGCGAAAGCUAGGGGAGCGAACAGGAUUAGAUACCCUGGUAGUCCUAGCCGUAAACGUUGGGUGCUAGGUGUGGGCGGAUAUCGACCCCGUCCGUGCCGAAGCUAACGCAUUAAGCACCCCGCCUGGGGAGUACGGCCGCAAGGCUAAAACUUAAAGGAAUUGACGGGG
rnacentral:rRNA from 1 species